GAAAAGCUCACCGGCGGUGAUCGGAAGGUCGAGAUCGCACGGCAAUGGCGGCGGAGAAGAGCCGGAUCCUGAUCAUCGGGGGAACGGGGUACAUCGGGAGGUACGUGGUGGGGGCGAGCGCGCGGCUGGGUCACCGCACCUUCGCCCUGGUGAGAGACACCGCGCCCGCCGACCCGGCCAAGGCCCAGCUCCUCCAAGGGUUCACGGACUCCGGGGUCACCCUCCUCAAGGUCAUCCCCAAACCCUAACCCUAACCCUAAUCCUAACCCCAAUAGGGUUGUGGGAUUUGAUUCAAUUUUGUGUGUGCGCAUUUCGGGAAUGGGGUGGUGAAAUGUGUCGAAGUGCAUGGAUGGUGCUUUUAGUAAGAUCCAUUACUUUCCAGGGUUUUGGGGAUUUUGAUUUGUUUGUGGUCGUGUUGUUUAAUUUUAGGGUUUUUGAUUCAUAAAUUGCAAUGCGGUCCCUGUUCCGACAAAAAAAAAAGAUUUUUUUCUUGUAAUAGUAUCACUUUUUACACAAUCUCAGUUAAAAGAAUGAUUUAGAGCAUAAAAUUAUUUGUUCUUAAAUUUUUUUAGCAGUGAUAGGGAGCGCAUUGCAAAAUAUGAGAUAAUUCAGGACAAAGUUGCAAUAUUGUACUAUCGAUCUGUAGCAUUGCUCUAAUCUUUUUGUCGGGUAAAAUGUUUGGCAAUUUUUAUUACUUCGUGGAUCUACAUUUGUGCCCCUUAACUUUCUUAUGUUUUAGCUUUUAGUCCCUGAUCAUAAAAAAAUAUAUAUGGUGGUUUAAUUAGGGAGAUCUCUACGACCACGCGAGCUUGGUGAACGCAAUCAAGAACGUGGAUGUGGUGAUCUCGACCGUCGGAUUCUUUCAACUGGCCGAUCAGACGAAGAUCAUCGCCGCGAUCAAGGAGGCCGGUAACAUCAAGGUCGAAUUUUUAGCCCCCGUUUAUCGCUCUCUUUCACAUUUUUAGGAUCUUAAUAAUCUCGUAAAAUUGUAUGGAAUUUAUCUGAACUAUGACCUGUUUUGAUACACGUACGCAACUUUUUAAAAAUUUUCAUUUCGCUACCUAACUUUUUUUAAGUAAUUUGAUUUUGAAUGUGUUGUUUAUUUUCAUUAAAGCAAGCAGUACUCCUAAAUAUUAUAAAAAAAAGCCACCAAAAUGGCUUAAUUAAAGAAAAUGAGGUUCCAAAAUCAAAUUUGAUAGAAUUAUUGUUUAAAUUGAUGAUGAAGAUGAGUUAUUCUAGUUAGUUAAGUUAAAAUUUUUGUUAGAUUAAAUAUUGGGCUUUUCUUGCAUUUAGCCCCUCAAAACAUUUUUUUUUUACCACUAGCAAAUCUAUAUUUACAUAUAUAGUUCUCUUCUUGCCGGGCCAUAUUAGCAUUUUCAAGUUAAAUAUGGUGAUUGAUUUACCGUGUUUAUAUUCACACUAUAGUCCCUUUUUUUAACUUAUGGUCAAUAAAAAAAUAUAAACAGAAAUAGGUGAUCCAAUCACUAUGUGUAAACACUGAUUGAAUCAUUGUGUUGAACUUAAAAAUACAAUCCAGAUGCUUGAGUGGCAAGAAGAGCUCUAUUUAUGCAAAUAUAAAUAUAUUAGGGUCAUUUGUAAAUUUUUUUUGAAGGGGGCUAAAUAUAAAAAAGCCCUUAAAUAUCUCUACUAUUAAUUAUUAGGAAUAAUUUCAUAGAUGCCCUUUUAAAAACUAUUAAUUUCAUCAAUACCCUUCUANGUGUUUGGUUGGAGUAGGUGGGAUAAGAAGAUAAUGAUUGAUAAAGAAGCAUAAUGAUUGGUUGGAAUAGGUGUGAUAAGAAAGAUAGUGAGUUAUUAUGAAUAGAAAAAAGUGUUUGGUUGGAGUUUGAUGGGGUUAGAUAGGGUUAGCUAACCCGGGAUAAUUUAUUUGAGGUGGGGUUAGGUGGAAUUAGCUAAACCCACCUAUUUUUUUGGGUGUUUGGAAAUAAAAUGGGGGUUAAGGAGUUUUUCCACCCUUUAACCCCCAAUCAAACGAGAGCUUAGAAAACCAGGUGGGAGGCGGUGAGCUUACCCUUACGGUGACAGCAUCCACUCCUUUGUUACGAUAAAAGGUGUCGUCACCGCCCCAUUACACAAAAACACACACACUCUCUCUCUCUCUGUGAAACCCUAGACCCUCCUCUCCGUUCUCUCCUACGCGUACCGGGAAAAGCUCACCGGCGGUGAUCGGAAGGUCGAGAUCGCACGGCAAUGGCGGCGGAGAAGAGCCGGAUCCUGAUCAUCGGGGGGACGGGGUACAUCGGGAGGUACGUGGUGGGGGCGAGCGCGCGGCUGGGUCACCGCACCUUCGCCCUGGUGAGAGACACCGCCCCCGCCGACCCCGCCAAGGCCCAGCUCCUCCAAGGGUUCACGGACUCCGGGGUCACCCUCGUCAAGGUCA
rnacentral:lncRNA from 1 species